rnacentral:rRNA from 1 species
GACGAACGCUGGCGGCGUGCUUAACACAUGCAAGUCGAACGGUGAAGCGCCUGCUUUCUUGGGUGGAGCGGUGGCGAGCGGAACGGUUGCGCAUGACCUACGUACCCUGCACUCUGGUAUAGGCUAACGACACGAAAGCGAGGCCAAUAUGGGAUAAUCUUCGUCUUUGGCACGUUCUGUCUGGUUUUGCGGUUGUGUAUGGGCGCGCGGGGUAUCAGCUUGUUGGUGUGGUAGUGGCGGAAGAAGGCUACGACGGGUAGCCGGCCUGAGCGGGCGACCGGCAACGCUGGGACUGAGACACGGCCCAGCCGCGGACGGGAGGGAGCAGUGGGGAAUAUUGUAAUACGGGCGAGAGCCGGAUGCAGUGACGCCGCGUGGGGUAUGAAGGCCUUCGGGUUGUAAAGCUCGUUCGGCUGGUAAGAAGCGAGAGUGACGGUACCUGGAGAAGAAGCACCGGCUAACUACGUG